CUAGCCCUUCCUUGUGGGCUGCUAGGGGCCGCCUCCUGUGUUCCCGCCUGCCCGCCUGGCAGGUCUGGCAGGUGAAUGACUCACAUUCCUGGUCCUCUGCACACGAAGCGUGGGGAGCCAGUGCGCCUGACCCCUGGGCUCCUGCCUGCCCCGCCAGCGGCUGUGACGGACAGGACCCUUCCCCGCCGCUGGCGCCUGACCCUGUGCCACCCGCACCCGUUUCCCCGAGGGCCAGAAUUGGACUGCACGGAAUCCAGUGAUCAACAACAACAACAACAACAACAAUAAUAACAGCGAGGUUGACUACUGGCAUUGCCACCAUGACUACUGUGCCAUUUAUCGGGCACUCACCCCGUGCUCAGCUCUGGGUCAGGAGUCCUGACGCCAUAGCUCAUCUAACCCUCCUGCCAGUCCAGAUGUCACAGAUGAGAAAGCUGAGGCACCGAGGGGUGAAGUCAUUGGCCCAGAGUCACACGGCUGGCCCAUGGCACUGAAACCAUCACUCAGAAAGUCAAAAGCUCACAUCACCCAAAGUCACCAUCCAAAGUCAUGUGCUGAGUUCCUGGUGCAGCCAAGAGCGGCGACUGGCUUGGUUGCUUCCGGCUUUUAAGCUCUUCCCUCUCUGCGCCGCUGGGCCGGGCUGGGCGGCCCUGGGACUCGAGAACCAUGGGUUCUGGUUGCUCUGCUUCUAAAAUACUACGGGACUCUGGACAUGCCCCUCACCCUCCUGGGGCCCGGGUCACCCCAUCUGGGUGGAGGGGCUGAUAAUUUCUUCCCUGUGAUCUAACCAGGGGCUGUGAAUUACAGUCACGGCUGGGGAUGCUUGUAAAACCUUGACACGGUGUGCAGGGAGGGAACCGGCGUGAAGAGAGUAAUUACCCAAGCAGCGUCUCCGGUCCCCUCUGUGCCUGGGACAGCCUUGACGUUUAAUCCCCACAAUUACUGGGGAUGAAGGAAUUGGUGCCGAGCUCCACAGCCGGAGAAAGCUGGGGCUCAGCAGAGGAGCAACUCGCAACUCGCUCAAGGUCACAGGGCUAGGAGGUGGGGAGGCGGGGAUUCGAACCCAGCCUGUGUGUGUGUCCAGAAGUGAGCGCCCCCCCUCCCCACCAGCCCUCAUGGGAGACAGCUCCCUGGGGAUGGGGGCAGGGGGCUCAGGGUUUCUAGCCCCAGGGCAGCAAGAGAGUUCCCGGUGGGGAUACUCAUGGGAGCAGGUCCCCAGGAGCUUAGCAGGUGGGUCCGAGGUAGGUGAGAUAGAUGGUGCUGCUACGAAGUGAAUUCCUAGCUUCCC
rnacentral:lncRNA from 1 species